CAAUUCAACCCCAUCCACCUCUUAUCUCAGUACAACCCGAUCCGGUCAACUGGACGUUCUUCGCAUCUCCUCGUUCCGACCGUGCGGUGAGAAGCAAAGGUCUCCGUCCCCCCUCAUCCGUGGCGAUCGGGCGAUUAGGGCUAGGGUUAGUUUUGCGUCAGGGUUUUUUUUUUUUCGAUCCAGUCCUUCUAACCCACGAUCCCUUCAUCCUCCUCGUUCUGCGGUCCGAUCCAAACCAAUCCAAUGGAUUGGGAAGGACAGAAGCGCUCGGAGAUUUUUAUGCUGAUUUCGCUGGUAGUCUUCGGCGUUGUUGCUUUCGGAGUCGGGUAUGCGAUCGGCUCCUUCCAGAUUAUGAUGCUUAUCUAUGGUUCUGGAGUUGUCCUGACUGCAUUGAUUACGGUACCCAAUUGGCCCUUUUUCAAUCGCCACCCGCUGAAAUGGUUGGACCCGAGCGAGGCCGAUCGCCACCCGAAGCCGCAGGUGAACACUGCAGCUCCGAAGAAGAAGGCAUCCAAGCAAAAGUAGAAGUAGGUCUUGUUAUAGCUUUCAGAAUUUUUUCAGGGCUUUCCAUUGUUGCUGUCCUAUUGAUGGGGCAAACUUUAGUAUUGCUGGGUGUUUCUGAUGGUGGAAGUAUUGGUUUGUCGGUGUUUCUGAAGUAGUUUUAGGAUUAUGAGAUAUUACUCCCAUAAUGACUAAAUGAAAGAUAAACUUAGAAAAAAA